AGAGUUUGAUCCUGGCUCAGGACGAACGCUGGCGGCGCGCCUAACACAUGCAAGUCGAACGAGCGAGAGAGAGCUUGCUUUCUCGAGCGAGUGGCGAACGGGUGAGUAACGCGUGAGGAACCUGCCUCAAAGAGGGGGACAACAGUUGGAAACGACUGCUAAUACCGCAUAAGCCCACGGUGCCGCAUGGCACAGAGGGAAAAGGAGCAAUCCGCUUUGAGAUGGCCUCGCGUCCGAUUAGCUAGUUGGUGAGGUAACGGCCCACCAAGGCGACGAUCGGUAGCCGGACUGAGAGGUUGAACGGCCACAUUGGGACUGAGACACGGCCCAGACUCCUACGGGAGGCAGCAGUGGGGAAUAUUGCACAAUGGGGGAAACCCUGAUGCAGCGACGCCGCGUGGAGGAAGAAGGUUUUCGGAUUGUAAACUCCUGUCGUUAGGGACGAUAAUGACGGUACCUAACAAGAAAGCACCGGCUAACUACGUGCCAGCAGCCGCGGUAAAACGUAGGGUGCAAGCGUUGUCCGGAAUUACUGGGUGUAAAGGGAGCGCAGGCGGACCGGCAAGUUGGAAGUGAAAACUAUGGGCUCAACCCAUAAAUUGCUUUCAAAACUGCUGGCCUUGAGUAGUGCAGAGGUAGGUGGAAUUCCCGGUGUAGCGGUGGAAUGCGUAGAUAUCGGGAGGAACACCAGUGGCGAAGGCGACCUACUGGGCACCAACUGACGCUGAGGCUCGAAAGCAUGGGUAGCAAACAGGAUUAGAUACCCUGGUAGUCCAUGCCGUAAACGAUGAUUACUAGGUGUUGGAGGAUUGACCCCUUCAGUGCCGCAGUUAACACAAUAAGUAAUCCACCUGGGGAGUACGACCGCAAGGUUGAAACUCAAAGGAAUUGACGGGGGCCCGCACAAGCAGUGGAGUAU
rnacentral:rRNA from 1 species